rnacentral:rRNA from 1 species
GAUGAACGCUAGCGGCAGGCUUAACACAUGCAAGUCGAGGGGUAGGAGAAGCUUGCUUUUCUGAGACCGGCGCACGGGUGCGUAACGCGUAUGCAAUCUACCUUUCACAGAGGGAUAGCCCAGAGAAAUUUGGAUUAAUACCUCAUAGUAAUACGCCUUGGCAUCAAGAUGCAUUUAAAGAUUUAUCGGUGAAAGAUGAGCAUGCGUCCCAUUAGCUAGUUGGUAUGGUAACGGCAUACCAAGGCAACGAUGGGUAGGGGUCCUGAGAGGGAGAUCCCCCACACUGGUACUGAGACACGGACCAGACUCCUACGGGAGGCAGCAGUGAGGAAUAUUGGACAAUGGGCGCAAGCCUGAUCCAGCCAUGCCGCGUGCAGGAUGACGGUCCUAUGGAUUGUAAACUGCUUUUAUACAGGAAGGAACACCUCUACGUGUAGAGACUUGACGGUACUGUAAGAAUAAGGAUCGGCUAACUCCGUGCCAGCAGCCGCGGUAAUACGGAGGAUCCAAGCGUUAUCCGGAAUCAUUGGGUUUAAAGGGUCCGUAGGCGGUCAGAUAAGUCAGUGGUGAAAGCCCAUCGCUCAACGGUGGAACGGCCAUUGAUACUGUCUGACUUGAAUUAUUAGGAAGUAACUAGAAUAUGUAGUGUAGCGGUGAAAUGCUUAGAGAUUACAUGGAAUACCAAUUGCGAAGGCAGGUUACUACUAAUAUAUUGACGCUGAUGGACGAAAGCGUGGGUAGCGAACAGGAUUAGAUACCCUGGUAGUCCACGCCGUAAACGAUGGAUACUAGCUGUUGGGAGCAAUCUCAGUGGCUAAGCGAAAGUGAUAAGUAUCCCACCUGGGGAGUACGAACGCAAGUUUGAAACUCAAAGGAAUUGACGGGGGCCCGCACAAGCGGUGGAGCAUGUGGUUUAAUUCGAUGAUACGCGAGGAACCUUACCAAGGCUUAAAUGUAGUUUGACCGGUUUGGAAACAG